rnacentral:rRNA from 1 species
GACGAACGCUGGCGGCGUGCCUAAUACAUGCAAGUAGAACGCUGAAGAGAGGAGCUUGCUCUUCUUGGAUGAGUUGCGAACGGGUGAGUAACGCGUAGGUAACCUGCCUUGUAGCGGGGGAUAACUAUUGGAAACGAUAGCUAAUACCGCAUAACAAUGGAUGACCCAUGUCAUUUAUUUGAAAGGGGCAAAUGCUCCACUACAAGAUGGACCUGCGUUGUAUUAGCUAGUAGGUGAGGUAACGGCUCACCUAGGCGACGAUACAUAGCCGACCUGAGAGGGUGAUCGGCCACACUGGGAAUGAGAAACGGCCCCGACUCCUACGGGAGGCAGCAGUAGGGAAUCUUCGGCAAUGGGGGCAACCCUGACCGAGCAACGCCGCGGGAGUGAAGAAGGUUUUCGGAUCGUAAAGCUCUGUUGUAAGUCAAGAACGAGUGUGAGAGUGGAAAGUUCACACUGUGACGGUAGCUUACCAGAAAGGGACGGCUAACUACGUG